GAGGAUGUAGCUCAGUGGUAGAGUGUCUGCCUACUAUGUACUAGGCUCUGGAUUCCAUUUCUAGCACUGUUA
rnacentral:tRNA from 1 species